rnacentral:rRNA from 1 species
AUGGCUCAGGAUGAACGCUAGCUACAGGCUUAACACAUGCAAGUCGAGGGGCAGCAUGAAGUUGCUGCAACUUGAUGGCGACCGGCGCACGGGUGAGUAACGCGUAUCCAACCUGGCCCUUAGUAGGGGAUAGCCCGGCGAAAGUCGGAUUAAUACCCUAUGUUUUCCUAUGAGGACAUCUGAGCAGGAACAAAGAUUUAUCGCUAAGGGAUGGGGAUGCGUCUGAUUAGCUUGUCGGCGGGGUAACGGCCCACCGAGGCUACGAUCAGUAGGGGUUCUGAGAGGAAGGUCCCCCACAUUGGUACUGAGACACGGACCAAACUCCUACGGGAGGCAGCAGUGAGGAAUAUUGGUCAAUGGGCGAGAGCCUGAACCAGCCAAGUAGCGUGCAGGAUGAACCUGCCCUAUGGGUUGUAAACUGCUUUUAUGCGGGAAUAAAGUGCAUCACGUGUGGUGUUUUGUAUGUACCGCAUGAAUAAGGACCGGCUAAUUCCGUGCCAGCAGCCGC